rnacentral:rRNA from 1 species
UACGGAGGGUGCAAGCGUUAAUCGGAAUUACUGGGCGUAAAGCGCACGCAGGCGGUCUGUCAAGUCGGAUGUGAAAUCCCCGGGCUCAACCUGGGAACUGCAUUCGAAACUGGCAGGCUAGAGUCUUGUAGAGGGGGGUAGAAUUCCAGGUGUAGCGGUGAAAUGCGUAGAGAUCUGGAGGAAUACCGGUGGCGAAGCCGGCCCCCUGGACAAAGACUGACGCUCAGGUGCGAAAGCGUGGGGAGCAAACAGG